GAUGAAGAACGCAGCGAAACGCGAUACGUAAUGUGAAUUGCAGAAUUCAGUGAAUCAUCGAAUCUUUGAACGCACCUUGCGCCCCUCGGCAUUCCGAGGGGCAUGCCUGUUUGAGUGUCACGGAUCCUUCGAACCCCGCCGGUCUCCGACGAGCCGGCCGCCUGGGUUCGGUCCUGGGCGCUACGCCACCCCUCCGGGGCCGGCCCGCCUCAAAAGCAUCAGCUGGGCCUCGCGGCGUGGGCGGGCUCCGAUCGGCGUGAUAAGUCAUCUGCCGAGAGGGUGCCCGUCCGUCCCGCGGAUCGCGGUCCGCUCCCAACCCCUCCCCGCGCGCCGUCCCCCCCCGGGGAGCGCGCGGGGACGUUUCGACGCUCUGGCCUCAAAUCAGGUAGGACCACCCGCUGAACUUAAGCAUAUCAAUAAGCGGAGGA
rnacentral:misc_RNA from 1 species